AUUGAACGCUGGCGGCAGGCCUAACACAUGCAAGUCGAACGAGUGGCGGACGGGUGAGUAAUGUCUGGGAAACUGCCCGAUGUAGGGGGAUAACUACUGUAAACGGUAGCUAAUACUGAAUACCACCGGUUGUGCCCACAUGGGAUUAGCUAGUAGGUGGGGUAACGGCGCACCUAGGCUGCGAUCCCUAGCUGUUCUGAGCGGAUGACCAGCAACACUGGAACUGAGACACGGUCCAGACUCCUAAGGGAGGCAGCAGUGGGGAAUAUUGCACAAUGGGCGCAAGCCUGAUGCAGCCAUGCCGCGUGUAUGAAGAAGGCCUUCGGGUUGUAAAGUACUUUCAGCGAGGAGGCGUUACUCGAAGAAGAAGCACCGGCUAACUCCGUGCCAGCAGCCGCGGUAAUAC
rnacentral:rRNA from 1 species